CCUACGGGUGGCAGCAGUGAGGAAUAUUGGUCAAUGGGCGCGAGCCUGAACCAGCCAAGUCGCGUGAGGGAAGACGGUCCUAUGGAUUGUAAACUGCUUUUAGUUGGGAAUAAAAGGGGGCUCGUGAGCCCCGUAUUGUAUGUACCAUCAGAAAAAGGACCGGCUAAUUCCGUGCCAGCAGCCGCGGUAAUACGGAAGGUCCGGGCGUUAUCCGGAUUUAUUGGGUUGAAAGGGAGCGUAGGCCGGCUUUUAAGUCAGCUGUGAAAGUCCGCGGCUCAACCGUGGAAUUGCAGUUGAAACUGGAGGCCUUGAGUGCACACAGGGAUGCCGGAAUUCAUGGUGUAGCGGUGAAAUGCUUAGAUAUCAUGAAGAACUCCGAUCGCGAAGGCAAGUGUCCGGGAUGCAACUGACGCUGAGGCUCGAAAGUGCGGGUAUCAAACAGGAUUAGAUACCCUAGUAGUC
rnacentral:rRNA from 1 species